rnacentral:tRNA from 1 species
GGUAUGCUGGCGGAAUUGGUUACGCGCGGGACUGCAACUCUCGUUAUCUCGGUUCAAGUCCGGGGCAUACCUCCA